rnacentral:sRNA from 1 species
CGCGCGGGCGCCCCCGCCGGAAGGUCAGUUGCAAAGCGGUCGGUCUUGGGCCUGGGACCAGAAGCCCCCUCCCGACCGCGCUACGGAGCCCGGCGCUCAGGUCCCGCAGGCCGCCUCGCUGGGACCUCCGGAGGCUUCCGCUUCUUCUCUUCCCCCUGUGCUCUCUUAGGCGGCUCCACGGGUCGCAUCUUUCAGUGCCCAGAUAGACUGAAGUGCGGCCAAGCGGAGUUCAUUCACUAUUCAGCCAGUACUUGGGCGUCGCCGUGGCCGGGCGCCCUUCUAGGCUCCGCGCAUCCCGUGAAGAAGGACGGAGCCCUGUUCUCACGGAGGGUACACUUUAGUAGGGGAGUGUUUGCGUGAUAGGCAGGGAAAGGGAAAGGAAGGCGUUGUGGCUGCCAUUGAUGUGCUGUGCUGCUCCCAGCCUUCUGCUUAAGGCCUGGACAGAGUUGGGUGGGUAUCGCCGUGAAUGGCCUAUCCACGCCACUGCCUUCAUCUCGCUGAAGAUCCACCAGCUGGCCGAAUUUCCCUGGAGUCUCAUUCCAGGCGUUGGCUGGGGGCUGGGAGGCUGGCGCCAGUUGAGAAGCCGAGCACCCAGCCCCACUUAAUGAGAAGUUAAUUGGAUCCUCGAGGACCCAAGGUCCCCGGUGGCAUAUAGAUCUCCAGCCUUGGGCAGGCUCUGCUCAGUCCCUGGAUGAAGAAGCCUGGAGGUUCCUGAGAUAUAUCAGCACCACCCAGGUUGUGUUUCAGGCUCAAACGAGUUAGAGAAGAAUG